rnacentral:misc_RNA from 1 species
GAAGAACGCGUUCACAAAUCUCUAAAUUAUCUUCUCUUUACUUGCUUAAAUUUAUGAAUAACUCUCACCACGAUUGAACAAGCAUGUAAAAUACAUUAUUUUGCUUUUCUUCUUUUAAGUAUAAAUUUAUCUAUGCUAAACGUCAAUGGCUUUAUUGAAAUAAACAUUCCAGUGUUAUUCGAUUGUUAUAAUUUAAUUUUUAACAAUCGAAUAACACUGGAAUGUUCAGAUAUUUAACAUCCGAUCACCUAUUUAAUUUUUUAGAAACUUUAGCCAUCUUUAUACAAUUACUCUUAUAAAUUAAAUAACUCACAAGGUACCUAAACUAACCCAAUAAACAGCAAAAAUCCAGAAGAGUCUCUCUUCUGGAUUUUUGCUUAUUU